rnacentral:lncRNA from 1 species
UGGAAGGGACUUUAUAAGCUAUAAAGUUUAACUAAAGAAUCUUUACUAUAACAGAUUGGACAAAUGGUUAUCCUGCUUCUACAUAAAACCCAUCACCAUUCAAAGUAAUCAUGAAAGAAACAGCUUUCAAAGCAAUCCAUUCUACUUUUGAAUUGAAGAUGAAAUUAUCAGAAACUCUCUUCUAACAUCUCUGGAGCCAAAUGGAACAAGCCUAAAAACCUCCUCCACCAGUCAGCCUUUCUUUUUUCCUGAAGACAGGUAUAAUGUGCUCAGCUUCUUCAAGAUGAGAAACCUGAGGUAGAUAGAAGUUAUGUGACUUGCUCAGAGUAUGUAACUGGUCUCUUGAAUACUCAUGGUCAAGGAGUGGGAGAAGGCAAGAAAAUACGCAACAGACAUUCGCUUCCAACUUAAGUCUUCCUUGUUGUAAACA